rnacentral:rRNA from 1 species
CAAAAACAUGUCUUUUUGAUUUUAAUUUAAAGUCUAAUCUGCCCACUGAUUUAUAUUGAAGGGCUGCAGUAAUUUGACUGUACAAAGGUAGCAUAAUCAUUAGUCUUUUAAUUGAAGACUUGUAUGAAGGAUUUGAUAAAAUAUAAACUGUCUCUAAUUUAUAUUUAAAAUUUAAUUUUUUAGUUAAAAAGCUAAAAUAAAUUUAAAAGACGAGAAGACCCUAUAGAGUUUUAUAAUUUAUAAUUUAAAAUAUUUAUAUAAAAUUUUAAUAUAAUAGAUUAUAAUUUAUUUUAUUGGGGUGAUAGAAAAAUUUAUAAAACUUUUUUUUUUCAUUAACAUAAAUAAUUGAAUAUAUGAUCCUAAAUAAAGAUUAAAAGAAAAAAUUACCUUAGGGAUAACAGCGUAAUUUUUUUUUUUAGUACAAAUAAAAAAAAAAGUUUGCGACCUCGAUGUUGGAUUAAGAUAAAAUUUAAAUGCAAAAGUUUAAAAUUUUGAUCUGUUCGAUCAUUAAAAUCUUACAUGAUCUGAG